rnacentral:tRNA from 1 species
GCGGGAAUAGGUCAGUUGGUAGAGCACGACCUUGCCAAGGUCGGGGUCGCGAGUUCGAGUCUCGUUUCCCGCUCCA